CUUUGGGUCGUGGUGCACCGAAAGGUUAAAUCUAUGAGGUGCGGGGACCGCCAUGGGAUGAAAACACUGUCGUGUCCAGGGACACCAGUGCGGUUAUCGCGUUCGAGUUUUCCCUGGACUUGAGGUUACUCAAAGACAACACGUUGGGAAGGAGCAGGGUACCUUCCUGGGACCCAGAGAGAAACAUCGUUUCUCCACCCCCAAGUCUCUCUCACACACAUCCCUUAGUAGCUACCUCCAAACGGUUAUCAAACUGUGUACAAACUGAUACGGCCCUUAGCGGGCCAAGGACUGGAAACGAACACUGGCGGGGUUAUCAGUGUGGAUCUGUCAGCAGCGAGUCACGCACUGUUCGUCCCCAGGCAGCUGCCCUGAUAAACGUCUUGUUCCUUCGGGCUCACAAAAAGGAUUUCUUCCGACAAGCUGGACACUGGAAGAUUGUGGAAAGGGAAUUGGACAGGAGGAGCUCCCUUAUGGAAAUGGAUUUUUACACACACUCACAAAAAGGAUUUCUUCCGACAAGUUGGACACUGGAAGAUUGUGGAAAGGGAAUUGGACAGAAGGAGCUCCCUUAUGGAAAUGGAUUUUUACACACACACCCCAGAGAAAGGAGAGGGGUCCAAGCAAAGCUGAACAUCGAGUCAUGGGUUGAGAGAUAGAAAACUCUGGAAUGGAGACGCUAGCGGCUGGACUAGGACUUGGAGGUUUUGAAUGUUAACCCGCACGGGGUCGAAAGGUACUACCACAAGAGACUGGCAAGGCAUGGCCCAAAUCCCACCACAGGCUCCAGCGGUUUGCUUUAGGUUGUUCGAUGGCUGAGUAGUCCAACAGUGGAUGCGUCACCCUGGAGACCUGGUAGUAGUGCACAACGCUGGAUGUCCACAGUCCCAACCUGGCACCACUGACAAGGAAAAUUCCUGUAGUGUACAUUGGAAACCCAAAAAAGGACAGGUUUUCUCUGUGUAGCCCUGGCUGUCCUGGGACUCUCUACUACACCAAGCUGGCCUUAAAAUCAGAGAUCUGUCUGGGUUUCAUCUGUGCUCACAGUGGCCUCCUGCUCUCUGUGUAGCUGAAGGUGCUGAAGAUCAACCCCCUACAAUGCCAAGAACACACUCUGCCACUGAGCUACUCCCCAGCCGUCUGUCAGUCUGCUUGUUGAUUGCCUCACAUGGAC